AUGACAAAUUUCAGAGACGAUGGAAUACCCUGUGCCAGAUCAUGUACAUGGCCAAGAGCUGCAGGACUUGGAGAGCUUCUUGAGGGGAGAGGUUUACAUCACUGGGGUUCUCACCUAUAAGCUGGGGGCUUGUCCAGGCACAGGACUCAGCUGCUCUUCUGGAGAGGAAAAUAAUCAGCCUUGUUUACGAGCUGAGAGGUUGGACUGGAGAUCUCAGAGGGUUCUUACCACCAGCACUUCUUUGUUUUUGUGGUAACCGAGGCAAACUUGAAAAGCUAAGUUUCAGGUCUGUGUUUGUGGAAAAAGAUGGAAGGUGGCCCAGCUUUCCUGAAUACACAAGAAAAGUAAAUAAAUGUGAUUAAGAUAAGCAGGCUUAGAGGAGAAAUUUGUUUUGAAAAAUUUUCCUUAUUUUGCGUUGUUAGCAAGAAGACCCACCAGUUCUGUUUGUUGGAAAGUGGCUUGGAAAGAUGAUGGAGUUCCCGGUGCUUGGCCAUGGGUAGGAUUUGGGAUCUUGGCAAGUCAUUUCCCCCCCCCCCCACUACUUCUGUUUGACUCUCAUCUGCAAACAUAUUGGGGCAGCCACUGUCUUUCAUUACUGUUGUUCACAGCAUAGAACAUCAGAGCCCUAAUGUCAGGUGAACCCUCAGAGCCUCACAGGAAUGUUUGAGCUCUUGUACUUGAUGUGAUCAGAAAUGGCAUUAUUGAUAACUUGUGUAGGUUACUGUCUUUGAGGGGGAGGUCUGGUGGCUGCAUCCAACACAACCAGACAGGAAAAAAGCUUUUGAAAACUUCACACCAAGCAGCUGUAUGCUUCAAGUGCAAAUCUUGAAGGUCUGGAAAUCAGACAUUCCUUAGCUCCUAGUAUACUGUGACGUGUAAGCACGAGUACCUGCUUUUCAUCUUUCAUAGCACAGUCAAUGGCCAUUCUUCAUAUGGAGGAGGAAAAGAGAAGGGAAUUUUGCGGUGAUUUUAUAAUUUUAAUUUUAAAGAUAAGCAUAUCAAGUACAAUCUACAAAUUACUAGGUGGUAUAACUAUCUUUGAAGCAGGUUGUAGCCUGUUCAGAGCUCAAGAUGUUGCCAUUAGCAUAAGGCACAACAUUAUAUUUCCUGGGAGUAUAGCCUGUACCCCUCUGUUGGUACCCACUGUCCCUGCCUUCCUUGUAAAUCUUGAUGACCUGAGAGACUUCUAUCAAAUACCAUAUUUUGCAGCAUGUUUUUAAUAACUUUUAGUGAGUAUUUCCUUGGGUACCUUUGUGAGACAAAUUACAAUAAAGAGGAUUUAAAUUCUGUCCACCCCUCUGUUAAUUAAGACCACCUCAUGAAUUGCAGCAGUAUGGGAGGCAAAUGUAUGUCAGGGAUUCAACAACCUUCAGUUACUUGUCCUCCUGAUCC